rnacentral:rRNA from 1 species
CCUGGUGGUGGAUCCCUCUUUUUUUUUUUUUUUUUUUUUGGUUAAAACUUUAUGACUCUAUAACUUCUAUACCGUGAGGCCAAACUUGGCAUGUGAUACCUUUUCGGAAAGCCCAAAGAGAGCCCUCCGACGAAAGAAGCAAGACAAUGGAACUUUCCCAUUGACUUUUUGUCGACUCCAAAUUUUGACCUUUAAGUACUUUUUCGGGCAUUUUCGUGAUUUGUGCUAUAUUACGGACCCAAAAUUACUUUUUCAAGCAUUGUUUUCGAAUAUUUUUCAUGCAUCAAAGCUCGUUAAGACUAGAUGGGGUAUCCCUACAUGGCGGGUGGGACCCACGGCGAACGGUUCAUCAAGACUUAAAAAAAGAAUAUAUACGAUUGCAUUGCAUAUACUAACGGAUGGCGAUCAUACUAGCACUAAUGCACCGGAUCCCAUCAGAACUCCGCAGUUAAGCGUGCUUGGGCAAGAGUAGUACUAGGAUGGGUGACCUCCCAGGUAGAAUC